CAACUGUGUGUGCAGCAAGCAGAAAUGCAGUAUUUAUCUCUGACAGGCAAACAUUCUUAAGCUCUUCGGCAUGAGUAUCCACACUGAACUGGCUAUCAGGAAAAUAGACCCCUGCAUGGGAAAGUCAAGAGCUUCAGAAUCUUCUGCAUUUAUCCAAGACAAGAGAAAAGAAAUUUGAGAAAGUGUACCUGUUUUUCGCCAUCUUCUACUCACUUGCUCUUGGAAUUAACAAAACACACAACCAUACCUAAGUGCAAAGUGGUCAAGAAAUGUAUUUCCUGAUGGGGCAACCACCUUCCAGUGAUAACUUCACACUCUGAAAGGGGUAAGCUGCAACACCUGUAAUAAUACUGUGCUGGACAUUGUGGAAUUUUCUAAAAGAAACAAAACUGGGACCUUGUCUUCCAGGAACAAGCACUGUAGCAAAUUUUUGCAAGAACUUUAUUCCCUUACCA
rnacentral:lncRNA from 1 species